rnacentral:rRNA from 1 species
UACGGGGGGUGCGAGCGUUGUCCGGAAUCACUGGGCGUAAAGGGCGCGUAGGCGGGUCGUUAAGUUGGGGGUGAAAGCUCAGGGCUCAACCCUGGAAUUGCCUUCAAUACUGGCGACCUUGAGUAUGGCAGAGGUGUGUGGAACUCCGAGUGUAGAGGUGAAAUUCGUAGAUAUUCGGAAGAACACCAGUGGCGAAGGCGACACACUGGGCCAUUACUGACGCUGAGGCGCGAAAGCGUGGGGAGCAAACAGG